rnacentral:tRNA from 1 species
UCCCUGGUGGUCUAGUGGUUAAGACUUGGUGCUUUCACUGCUGUGGCCUGGGGUUCAAUCCCGGGUCUGGGAA